rnacentral:rRNA from 1 species
UGGGGAAUAUUGCACAAUGGGCGCAAGCCUGAUGCAGCCAUGCCGCGUGUGUGAAGAAGGCCUUCGGGUUGUAAAGCACUUUCAGCGAGGAGGAAGGUGGUGAACUUAAUACGUUCAUCAAUUGACGUUACUCGCAGAAGAAGCACCGGCUAACUCCGUGCCAGCAGCCGCGGUAAUACGGAGGGUGCAAGCGUUAAUCGGAAUUACUGGGCGUAAAGCGCACGCAGGCGGUUUGUUAAGUCAGAUGUGAAAUCCCCGGGCUCAACCUGGGAACUGCAUUUGAAACUGGCAAGCUAGAGUCUCGUAGAGGGGGGUAGAAUUCCAGGUGUAGCGGUGAAAUGCGUAGAGAUCUGGAGGAAUACCGGUGGCGAAGGCGGCCCCCUGGACGAAGACUGACGCUCAGGUGCGAAAAGGCGUGGGGAGCAAAACAGGAUUAGAUACCCUGGUAGUCCACGCUGUAAAACGAUGUCGAUUUUGGAGGUUGUGCCCCUU